rnacentral:tRNA from 2 species
GGUCUUGUGGUCUAGUGGUAUGAUUCUCGCUUAGGGUCCAAGUAUGGCACAACUUGCGAGAGGCCCCGCGUUCGAGUCGCGGCAAGACCC